GUUUGUAUGAUACACAAGUUACUGAUAGCAUUGAGGGAACAACUUCUGCUUCUGACUUGGAUAAGGCUGCGAUAUCAGAAGACGUAGUUCAAGUGACAACAAGUGCGUCAGAUGCUGAUAAUGUGACCGGAUCUACUGUUAAACCUGUGGUGAAGGAAAAGGGGGAAGAGAAACUGUAUGUUGUGGAUGAGAAAGAUACAGCUUUAGAUACUGUUACGGAAAAUUGGGAGGAAAAUUUGGAUCAUGUAGUUGACAAAGCCACUGUAAACCUGUGGUGAAGGAAAAAGGGGCAGAGAAACUGUAUGUUGUGGAUGAGAAAGAUACAGCUUUAGAUACUGUUACGGAAAAUUGGGAGGAAAAUUUGGAUGUUGUAGUUGACAAAGCCACUGUUUCAGAAGUGCUGGUGGAGACAAGAUUGG
rnacentral:lncRNA from 1 species